rnacentral:rRNA from 1 species
GAACGCUGGCGGCGUGCCUAACACAUGCAAGUCGAACGAGAAAGCGGGCUUCGGCUCGUUAGUAGAGUGGCAGACGGGUGAGUAACACGUGGGUAACCUGUCCGGAGGCGGGGGAUAACUCUCCGAAAGGAGGGCUAAUACCGCAUAAUAUUCGUUAGGUUUCGGCUCGACGAAUCAAAGCUUGCCUCUACAUGUAAGCAAGCACCACCGGAGGGGCCCGCGGCCCAUUAGCUUGUUGGUGAGGUAACGGCUCACCAAGGCGACNAUGGGUAGCCGGCCUGAGAGGGCGAUCGGCCACACUGGAACUGAGACACGGUCCAGACUCCUACGGGAGGCAGCAGUGAGGAAUUUUGCGCAAUGGGGGAAGCCCUGACGCAGCGACGCCGCGUGGAGGACGAAGGCCUUCGGGUCGUAAACUCCUGUCAAGUGGGACGAAUCCGGAGAGAUGAAUAAGCUUUUCGGUUGACGGUACCAUUGGAGGAAGCCCCGGCUAACUCCGUGCCAGCAGCCGCGGUAAUACGGAGGGGGCUAGCGUUGUUCGGAAUUAUUGGGCGUAAAGGGCGCGUANGCGGCCUGGUAAGUCGGACGUGAAAUCCCGCGGCUCA